rnacentral:rRNA from 1 species
GACGGUACUGAGGAAUCAGCAUCGGCUAACUCCGUGCCAGCAGCCGCGGUAAUACGGAGGAUGCAAGCGUUAUCCGGAAUCAUUGGGCGUAAAGCGUCCGCAGGUGGCAUUUCAAGUCUGCUGUCAAAGGUCGGGGCUUAACUCCGAACAGGCAGUGGAAACUGAGAAGCUAGAGUGCGGUAGGGGCAGAGGGAAUUCCUGGUGUAGCGGUGAAAUGCGUAGAGAUCAGGAAGAACACCGGUGGCGAAAGCGCUCUGCUAGGCCGCAACUGACACUCAGGGACGAAAGCUAGGGGAGCGAAUGGGAUUAGAUACCCCAGUAGUCCUAGCUGUAAACGAUGGAUACUAGGCGUUGCUUGUAUCGACCCAAGCAGUGCCGGAGCUAACGCGUUAAGUAUCCCGCCUGGGGAGUACGCACGCAAGUGUGAAACUCAAAGGAAUUGACGGGGGCCCGCACAAGCGGUGGAGUAUGUGGUUUAAUUCGAUGCAACGCGAAGAACCUUACCAGGGCUUGACAUGCCCGGAAUCCUGGGGAAACUCAGGAGUGCCUACGGGAACCGGGACACAGGUGGUGCAUGGCUGUCGUCAGCCCGUGUCGUGAGAUGUUGGGUUAAGUCCCGCAACGAGCGCAACCCUCGUUUUUAGUUGCCAGCAUUAAGUUGGGCACUCUAGAAAGACUGCCGGUGACAAACCGGAGGAAGGUGGGGAUGACGUCAAGUCAGCAUGCCCCUUACGCUCUGGGCUACACACGUACUACAAUGCUAUGGACAAAGGGCAGCAAGAAUGCGAAUUCAAGCAAAUCCCAUAAACCAUGGCUCAGUUCAGAUCGCAGGCUGCAACUCGCCUGCGUGAAGGCGGAAUCGCUAGUAAUCGCCGGUCAGCCAUACGGCGGUGAAUACGUUC